AGGAUUAUAGUUUAAAAAAAAACUUUUGAUUUGCAUUCAAAAAAUAUUGAAAAUUACAAUUUAUCUUA
rnacentral:tRNA from 1 species